AAGGCGUGCUCUAUGGCUGUAGGAGAACCCUAAUGCUCCAGGCUCUCCUGCCCAGAUCCCUGGAUUCAGGGGCCAUCUGGUCUCAAAACUCAAAUGCUAUAGCAAAACCCCCACACUGGGCUGUGCUUUUUAUCCUGGGCUUGGGGCAUAGUGGGUGGUAUGGGGCACAGGACACCGUGACUUCCCGGAUCAUCCUUUUUACUUAAUGGUAAUUCACUUGAAGCAUCAUUGUUACAGAAAAUCAACCUCGAAUAUAUCACACCAUAGAAAGCAUGGUUCCCAUCCUUUACAGAAGGUGACACUGAGGACUUUGGAGAAGUUUCACCUUUGGUGGGGUGGGUGAGAGGUGUUGAGCUCUGGAACAGGACCCAGUGUACCUUGGCUUCACAGAUCUGCCCUGCUGAGCUGUGGCUUCUUUGCAGGAAAUGUUUAGAUGCCCUAUUAGGGUUUUGUGGGUGGAGGUGUUGGACUGGAAACAUUUUCUCAUCAAAUAUGAGCUCCCCUGUGUGUAAGAGCCUCGCUCACAGUAGAAGCUCCAUGGCUAGUAGGGAAAGAAUGCACCCUAGGAGAUGGGCUGGUGGAGGGAACACCUGACUUCGAGUUGGGAGAACUGGGUUCUAGUCCCAUCUUUUCUGAGACAGCCACUUCCCUGCGCUGAGCCUCCUACCCCUCCAUGGCUGGACUCCAUCUGUGAGGUCCCCUCUCAGGAGUUUAUGGGCCUUAAAGUCCCAGGAGAAGACCAGUCCUGGCAGAGCUGCACACUGGCCAGACAAAGCAUGACUAGCUCCCACCUCUGCUUCAUCAGUCCCAUGGAGAGAAAGUGGCAAAUUCUCUUGCCAGAAACACCUGAGUGCUCCCUGACAUCAUUUGGCGUUUAUAGCUGGCUCUGAGGAGUGGCAGGAUGUUCCAUUUGCUCACAAAGGCCCUGGGGACCUGUGGGAACUGGAGGUUGUUCAGGGUUGUUAAGGACAGAACAGGUGGAAGGAGAAGAGCCCAGAGGCUGAAGGGAGCCAUGCUGUGGGGGCUGGCCAGGUGGGCCAGAGAGGAACUGGGCUUCUCCUCCCAGUCCCUGCCAUAGCAGGCAGUUUUAUAUGGAUGUGGUGCGAUGUUGCUCACGCCUCAAACUUCUCAUCCCAUCUGUCCUUCCUGAGCACCACAAUGUUGUAAACGGUUUGGGCUGGAGCAGCCCCCCAAGAAUUGAUCUUGUGUGUCCCCCUCUGUGGCAGUUUUAAAAUGUGGCCCCCAAAUUCUUUGACCCUCCUUCCAUCAAGAAUUGGGAUCUGUCUUCCCUUGCCCAGAAUCUGGCCUUGUGACUACUUGACAAAUGAAUGCAGUGCUGUGCCAACUUCUGGGCCCAGGCCUUCAGACGCUGGCAGCUCUCACUUCCUGUCUCUUGGGACACUUACUCUUGGAACCCAGCCACUGUGCCCACAAGAAGCCAAAGCAGCCCUUGGGGAGGAGAGGCCCACGUGGAAAGGAGCCCACGGCCCUGGCUGUGCUCCCAGCUGAUUAGCACCAGUGUGCCAGGCCUGGGGGCCGCUGUCCUGGGCACCCCCAGUCACGUCGUCCCAUCUGACAGCACAUGGAGCAGAGCAGAAUGGAAUAACAGCAAACAACAUUGGAGGAGGACUUGUCUGGGAGAGCAGCCAUUUUAAAGAAGAGCACAUUAAGUCACAAACAGUCGCAGCUGAUCUACUUUGCAGCAUCGCCAUACAUGCCUAACUAAAUAUUGAAAUCCCGGGAAAAACUCACUGUGCAUCAUGUUCCAGAAACUAGCUUUGCAAACAGUCUUUUCAGAUGUGUACAUUUUGUGUAUUUGAGGCAUAUAAUAUAUAUAUUUUCCUCCAUGUUCACCCAA